GCACUGCGGAGGAGUCUAACAAUAGGACGAAACGGCCGUCCAGUGC
rfam:Schistosoma haematobium scaffold264_3, whole genome shotgun sequence.